CCUACGGGAGGCAGCAGUGGGGAAUAUUGGACAAUGGGCGAAAGCCUGAUCCAGCCAUGCCGCGUGUGUGAAGAAGGCCUUCGGGUUGUAAAGCACUUUCAGUGAGGAAGAAAGCCUUGGGGCUAAUACCCUCGAGGAAGGACAUCACCCACAGAAGAAGCACCGGCUAACUCCGUGCCAGCAGCCGCGGUAAUACGGAGGGUGCGAGCGUUAAUCGGAAUUACUGGGCGUAAAGCGCGCGUAGGCGGUCUGAUAAGCCGGUUGUGAAAGCCCCGGGCUCAACCUGGGAACGGCAUCCGGAACUGUCAGGCUAGAGUGCAGGAGAGGAAGGUAGAAUUCCCGGUGUAGCGGUGAAAUGCGUAGAGAUCGGGAGGAAUACCAGUGGCGAAGGCGGCCUUCUGGACUGACACUGACGCUGAGGUGCGAAAGCGUGGGUAGCAAACAGGAUUAGAUACCCCAGUAGUC
rnacentral:rRNA from 1 species